rnacentral:siRNA from 1 species
GGCUAUGAAUGCCUUGGAGAGUU